rnacentral:rRNA from 1 species
AGAGUCAACGCUGGCGGCGUGCCUCAGACAUGCAAGUCGAACGCGAAAGUCCCCUUCGGGGGACAAGUAGAGUGGCGCACGGGUGAGUAACACGUAGGUAAUCUACCUUUGGAUGGGGAAUAACAACCGGAAACGGUUGCUAAUACCGCAUAAUGCAGCGGCACCUAAUGGUGACAGUUGUUAAAGCGGGGAUCGAAAGCCUGCGUCUGAAGAGGAGCCUGCGGCGGAUUAGCUAGUUGGAAAGUACGGCUUACCAAGGCGACGAU